rnacentral:rRNA from 1 species
UACGGAGGGUGCAAGCGUUAUCCGGAUUCACUGGGUUUAAAGGGUGCGUAGGUGGGCAGGUAAGUCAGUGGUGAAAUCUCGGAGCUUAACUCCGAAACUGCAUUCGAUACUGCCGUGCUUGAGGACUGGAGAGGAGACUGGAAUUUACGGUGUAGCGGUGAAAUGCGUAGAUAUCGUAAGGAAGACCAGUGGCGAAGACGGGUCUCUGGACAGUUCCUGACGCUGAGGCACGAAGGCCAGGGGAGCAAACGGG